AACGAACGCUGGCGGCAUGCCUAACACAUGCAAGUCGAACGAGACCUUCGGGUCUAGUGGCGCACGGGUGCGUAACGCGUGGGAACCUGCCCUUAGGUUCGGAAUAACUCCCCGAAAGGGGUGCUAAUACCGGAUAAUGUCUUCGGACCAAAGAUUUAUCGCCUUUGGAUGGGCCCGCGUUGGAUUAGCUAGUUGGUAGGGUAAAAGCCUACCAAGGCGACGAUCCAUAGCUGGUCUGAGAGGAUGAUCAGCCACACUGGGACUGAGACACGGCCCAGACUCCUACGGGAGGCAGCAGUAGAGAAUAUUAGACAAUGGGCGAUAGCCUGAUCCAGCAAUGCCGCGUGAGUGAUGAAGGCCUUAGGGUUGUAAAGCUCUUUUACCCGGGAUGAUAAUGACAGUACCGGGAGAAUAAGCUCCGGCUAAGUCCGUG
rnacentral:rRNA from 1 species